UGAGGAAUAUUGGUCAAUGGGCGGAAGCCUGAACCAGCCAAGUCGCGUGAGGGAAGACGGUCCUAUGGAUUGUAAACCUCUUUUGUCGGGGAGCAAAGCCAGUCUCGUGGGACUGGAAGGAGAGUACCCGAAGAAAAAGCAUCGGCUAACUCCGUGCCAGCAGCCGCGGUAAUACGGAGGAUGCGAGCGUUAUCCGGAUUUAUUGGGUUUAAAGGGUGCGUAGGCGGAACCUUAAGUCAGCGGUAAAAUGUCGGUGCUCAACGCCGGCCGGCCGUUGAAACUGAGGUUCUUGAGUGAGCGAGAAGUAUGCGGAAUGCGUGGUGUAGCGGUGAAAUGCAUAGAUAUCACGCAGAACUCCGAUUGCGAAGGCAGCAUACCGGCGCUCAACUGACGCUGAGGCACGAAAGCGUGGGGAUCGAACAGGAUUAGAUACC
rnacentral:rRNA from 1 species